AUUAAUGCUAGCGGCAGGCAUAAUACAUGCAAGUUGAACGGCAGCACAGGUAGCAAUACCGGGUGGCGAGUGGCGCACGGGUGCGUAACACGUAUGCAACCUACCCUAUACAGGCGAAUAACCUUUAAAAAUGAGGGCUAAUACGCCGUGGUAUUAUCUUGGGGCAUCUUGAGAUAAUUAAAGAUUUAUCGGUAUAGGAUGGGCAUGCGUCCCAUUAGUUAGUUGGUAGGGUAACGGCCUACCAAGGCUAUGAUGGGUAGGGG
rnacentral:rRNA from 1 species